rnacentral:rRNA from 1 species
UACGUAGGGGGCAAGCGUUAUCCGGAUUCACUGGGCGUAAAGGGAGCGCAGGCGGCAUGGCAAGUCUGAUGUGAAAACCCGGGGCCCAACCCCGGGAGUGCAUUGGAAACUGCCAGGCUGGAGUGUCGGAGGGGUAAGCGGAAUUCCUAGUGUAGCGGUGAAAUGCAUAGAUAUUAGGAGGAACACCAGUGGCGAAGGCGGCUUACUGGACGACUACUGACGCUGAGGCUCGAAAGCGUGGGGAGCAAACAGG